UCUGAACUAGAAGCCCACAUGGAAAGAAUCUAUAUGUGGAUAUAUGCGCAUAUAUGGCAAUAUAUAUGCUGCAUUUAUGCGUAUAUAUGCCACAUAUAGGUUUCAUAUAUGCUGCAUAUAUGCAAAUGUGAGGUGCAUAUAUGCAUAUACAGGCCUCCUAUUGCUUCACAUAUAUCCACAUAUAAGCCCUAUACAUACAAGAUAUGUCUUCUAUUUAGCUAAUGGCAUGAUCAUUUUGUAGCUCAUCUCAUUUUGGCAACUGUGGAUCCAUACUAAUACUUUUCUUGCGUCUUAUUUCCAUAACGUUAUUUAUACUGGCAAGCUUAGAUCGACCACUACAGCGUUGCGUAGUUGAUGUUAUCCGCAUGCGGCCCAGCACGCUGCGUAGUUGAUGACGUCAUCCGCAUGCGGCCAGCGCGCUGCGUAGUUGAUGACGUCAUCCGCAUGCGUCCAGCGCGCUGUUUUUAAUUUUUGCCGCCGACAGAUAGUGGCUGGGAGUAAAAUGGCGAUAAAAGCAUUGGAGAGCCGCUAUGUCCUACUUGAAUGGACUGAGGGUGAGGAUAGAGGGGUCCAUAGUAUUUUGCCCCUCUACUGUGUCCGGAAUUUUUCACUUAGAGACUUUUUGAAAGGACUGAUAAAACCGAGAAGCUGGAAUGGCGAAAAGGCCGCCAAGAGCACCGAGCCAGAAUUAUUCAGUAAGUUACACGCAAACUUUACCUGACCUUAUGUAGUUAAAUACCACAUUAAAUGGUUUUGCUCGUACUUAAAGAAGUAUAAAAUGAAUCUUGCUAGGUACCUGAAUAUAGCUUAGCUUUCAUGUUAGCCGUAUGCUAAAUUGCUUUAGUCCAAUAAUGUUAGAUUUGGUAAACAUGAUUAGAAAAACGUUUGCAGUUCAUGAUAACAUUUAAAUUUUAUUGCACCAGAACUUGAAAAAAACUCUCCAAAUUAAACUGAUCGAGAUGGGGAAAGAUGGCACACAAUGGCAAAUAAAACGUCCUCACAUCCCAAACAAAGUACAGUGAGCAGCUAGGGGCCGACUAAGAAGGCUUCAAAGAAAAAGGUUGACAAUAAAAAGGGAGGGGCUUCCAAAUACAAGCACCAGGAGGAGGGUCAUGACAGACUUUCAAAGAAUAAGAUGCUACGUUGAAGAAGUGGCCGGCAGCCAGCCGAGGGCAAGCUCACGGAGCUGAGAAGAGCUAAAAGAUAUAUAUUUUUUUUUCUGUUCAGUUUUUUGUCUUAUUUUGGUUCUUGUACUAUUUGAUUGUUCUUGUAAAUACAUAAUGUACAGUACAUUUCUAUAUUUUGGACUUUUAUUUAUGGUGCCUAGCAGGUUUUUUUUUUUUUCUUAUUUUUGUUCUUGUACUAUAUUUUUUGUUUUGUAUUAUUUGAUUGAUCUGAAGUAAAUAUAUAAUGUACAUUUCUACAUUUUGGACUUUUAUUUAUGUUAUCUAGCAGCUAUGGAUUUUAAUUUUACUAUUAUAUAGGUGAACAUAUAGGUGCAUAAUAUACGUGCAUAUAUGUACCUAUAUAGGUAUAUGUAUGCGUGCAUAUAUGUACAUAUAAUAUAGGAAAAUGGCCAAUUUUAUAUACGUCACAUAUAUCAAAAACCUAUAUCAAAACCUAUAUUGAAACAUAUAUGUUUAUAUAGGUUCUUUCCAUGUGGGAGGAGAAACAUGUAACAACCUCAACAAAUCUUACCCCUUUUCAGCGUCUUCGCCUCUUUGCGUUUUUCAGAAAAUAUCUUCACCCAACACUACAAACAAGUGUUUAUUAAUGUCAAAACCUCAAAAUCAAAUAUUUUGCUUAGUUUAUAGAAAGUUAAGCUUACCCCUUUCCACCGUCUUUACGUGCGCAUCACCAGAUGGAUCCAGUUUUUUCCAGAUUUGCAUAUCACAUGGCUCAGUCAUAUACUUAAAAUAUUAUGUUAUAAUUAGUUUUGAUGCACUUUAGUUGACGUGACUUAUGUUUUUUCAUAAUAUUUAGGCAUACACUUAGGUUCUGUUAUGCGAGACACAGAGGAGGAAGCCGGAGUGAAAGCAGUUUAUUUGCCAAAAACACGGAAGUAGUAGUAAUCCGGUGGUGCGCGGUGGAAGCGCGGCCCACAAAGUCCAGAGUUAUGGGAAGAAAGGCAGUCGGUGUAACACCCAGGGGAGCGCUUAGGAGAAGCGCGAAGCUGAACUCAGGAGUGUCGAGGAAUGAACAGCCAAACCAUGGAUAAAAACUGACGGUCAGGUCUGUAGAGGCCUUUGUUUGGCACAGAGAUUUGGAUGGUGAACCAGAUGGCGAGCCACCCAGUUUGAUGAGAAAUCUGUUUCCAGGAGGAGUCAAGGUUUUCCUUGCAGAUCCAAUUUUGAGACAUAUCAAAGGAACUGCGGUGUUUGGUAUGACUGUUACCUACACAAGUCCAUCUCAAGUCUAUUUGGAAGGUUAUUGAGGACAAAGGAAUUUAAAACUCAUAUUGACUAUUUUGAUUCACGUACACACACAUACAAAAUACACAUACUGUACACUGAUAAACAUAAACACACAUUCAAUUGUUUUGUUUUUUUUGUUAGUUUUUUUUGCCGGGUAAUGUUUUGUGAAUUUGUACUGUUUUGUUAGCUCACUAAAGUUCUUUAAAGUGAAUCUAUUUGUUGUGUUGCUUUGUCUUACUUGAACUCCAACGAACCUAGCAGCGGUGUAUUUUCCCUUAGAUGGGUUACAUCUGCAUCUACAUAUAUCUGCACCUAAGGAUAUUACAUAAUUGGUGACAAGGUUAAAAGGCAUUCAGGUACCAGGCUGAAAAUAGUAGACUGUGCACAGACUAGUUAUGGCCGGUUCGUGAACGAAUCUUUCUUUUGAACC